rnacentral:rRNA from 1 species
AGGGUUUGAUCAUGGCUCAGAUUGAACGCUGGCGGCAGGCCUAACACAUGCAAGUCGAGCGGUAGAGAGAAGCUUGCUUCUCUUGAGAGCGGCGGACGGGUGAGUAAUGCCUAGGAAUCCGCCUGGUAGUGGGGGAUAACGUUCGGAAACGGACGCUAAUACCGCAUACGUCCUACGGGAGAAAGCAGGGGACCUUCGGGCCUUGCGCUAUCAGAUGAGCCUAGGUCGGAUUAGCUAGUUGGUGAGGUAAUGGCUCACCAAGGCGACGAUCCGUAACUGGUCUGAGAGGAUGAUCAGUCACACUGGAACUGAGACACGGUCCAGACUCCUACGGGAGGCAGCAGUGGGGAAUAUUGGACAAUGGGCGAAAGCCUGAUCCAGCCAUGCCGCGUGUGUGAAGAAGGUCUUCGGAUUGUAAAGCACUUUAAGUUGGGAGGAAGGGUUGUAGAUUAAUACUCUGCAAUUUUGACGUUACCGACAGAAUAAGCACCGGCUAACUCUGUGCCAGCAGCCGCGGUAAUACAGAGGGUGCAAGCGUUAAUCGGAAUUACUGGGCGUAAAGCGCGCGUAGGUGGUUUGUUAAGUUGGAUGUGAAAUCCCCGGGCUCAACCUGGGAACUGCAUUCAAAACUGACUGACUAGAGUAUGGUAGAGGGUGGUGGAAUUUCCUGUGUAGCGGUGAAAUGCGUAGAUAUAGGAAGGAACACCAGUGGCGAAGGCGACCACCUGGACUAAUACUGACACUGAGGUGCGAAAGCGUGGGGAGCAAACAGGAUUAGAUACCCUGGUAGUCCACGCCGUAAACGAUGUCAACUAGCCGUUGGAAGCCUUGAGCUUUUAGUGGCGCAGCUAACGCAUUAAGUUGACCGCCUGGGGAGUACGGGCG